rnacentral:rRNA from 1 species
UACAGAGGUCUCAAGCGUUGUUCGGAUUCAUUGGGCGUAAAGGGCGCGUAGGCGGCCUCCGCAAGUCAGUUGUGAAAUCUCCGAGCUUAACUCGGAAAGGUCAACUGAUACUGCGGGGCUAGAGUGCGGAAGGGGCAACUGGAAUUCUUGGUGUAGCGGUGAAAUGCGUAGAUAUCAAGAGGAACACCUGCGGCGAAGGCGGGUUGCUGGGCCGACACUGACGCUGAGGCGCGAAAGCGUGGGGAGCGAACAGG